UGAGAGGUUACCGUCUAAACACUACUGCCAUUUCUCCUUGAUACAAAUUCAGGAUUCUUCUCAUUAUACAUUUUUCUUGUUGACUGUUCUCAACUCUAUCAUUUGGUCCGACCUGCCGUUGUGCAAAAUCAAUAACCAAAACCAGAAUGGAGGGACAUAUGGAAGGGCGUGUUGAUGAGGUAGAGGAGAACUUAUCAGGUCUACAAGACUGAUUGGCAGCCAUGAGGGUGGAACAAGAGCAACAGAUGAAUUCCUUUCAAAAAGAGCAAAACCAAUGUUUUGCUAGAGUUGGGAAUUUGCUUUCUUCCAUGGC
rnacentral:misc_RNA from 1 species